rnacentral:rRNA from 1 species
AUGCUUAACACAUGCAAGUCGAACGGAAACGACAACAUUGAAUCUUCGGAGGAUUUGUUGGGCGUCGAGCGGCGGACGGGUGAGUAAUGCCUAGGAAAUUGCCUUGAUGUGGGGGAUAACCAUUGGAAACGAUGGCUAAUACCGCAUAAUGCCUACGGGCCAAAGAGGGGGAUCUUCGGACCUCUCGCGUCAAGAUAUGCCUAGGUGGGAUUAGCUAGUUGGUGAGGUAAUGGCUCACCAAGGCGACGAUCCCUAGCUGGUCUGAGAGGAUGAUCAGCCACACUGGAACUGAGACACGGUCCAGACUCCUACGGGAGGCAGCAGUGGGGAAUAUUGCACAAUGGGCGAAAGCCUGAUGCAGCCAUGCCGCGUGUAUGAAGAAGGCCUUCGGGUUGUAAAGUACUUUCAGUUGUGAGGAAGGGGGUAGUGUUAAUAGCGCUAUCUCUUGACGUUAGCAACAGAAGAAGCACCGGCUAACUCCGUGCCAGCAGCCGCGGUAAUACGGAGGGUGCGAGCGUUAAUCGGAAUUACUGGGCGUAAAGCGCAUGCAGGUGGUUCAUUAAGUCAGAUGUGAAAGCCCGGGGCUCAACCUCGGAACUGCAUUUGAAACUGGUGAACUAGAGUACUGUAGAGGGGGGUAGAAUUUCAGGUGUAGCGGUGAAAUGCGUAGAGAUCGGAAGGAACACCAGUGG